GGGCGCUUAACUCAGUUGGUAGAGUGCCUCCUUUACACGGAGAUGGUCACUGGUUCGAGUCCAGUAGCGCCCACCA
rnacentral:tRNA from 1 species